CAUUAUAAUAUCAUGAAAUCAUACGCGCCCUGUAACAUAACACAUGUCAUACUUUUAAUUUGUCAAUCAUCAAGUAACAAAUUUCCUCUUUUACCAGCCUACCAGUAUCCAUGGAGAUCCAUAGGGGUUCUUGUCACACGUGAACCAUUCAUGUUAAUAACUUAAUUUCAGGAUCGUCCCCAUACCCCAUCCGGUAUGGGCGCCAAAACAAUAAACCUCAAUACUCCGUCCGGUAUGAGGAUGAAGCGGGCCGUCCCCAUACCUCGUCCGGUAUGAGCGUCAAAAUAUUUAAAGUCUCCAUACCCCGUCCGAUAUGAGAUACAACAUUCCCAGUAGGGUCCCCUAUAGACCCGGUCUGUCCACCAUCUCCCAGGACAUCUAGUGAGCCUGUUAACUUAUCCAUUUAUCAACUCAAUCCCAUUCUUAUUUGUUCUUAGUCUCAAUUACCCAAUCAAACAUGAAUACAUAAACCAGUAACGAACACCAAACAAGGCAAACAU
rnacentral:lncRNA from 1 species